UGCUACGAUCCACGUAGCCUCCCUUUGAUCUUCGAACCAAUGCAGGUUCCUUGGAAGCAGAACCAGCCUGACGUGUGCGCCGAUCACCGCCCCCGUACUGACACUUGACAUCAUCUCCAUUCCCUUCCUUAAAGAAGUCCAUUGUUUGAAUCACAGCCCGCAACGUGGUCCUUUGUUUCCACCAUUGCCGGUCAGGAGUUUACUCCAUCCCCUGCUAGUUAAUGUAGUCUGGGCAGCGGAGGAGACGUGGCUCACGAACUGCCGCUACGGUCGCGGUGAGGCCGGGUUUGUCAAGGUGAUUAGACUUGAGAAAGCAGCUGCAUAACUUGCAAGAAAAAGAGAAAAUUCUCUUCUUCCAAUGUUAAAUCAUUUUUGAUAUUAAGAGAAGAGAAAUUACCGAUAAUUUUCUUGCAAGUUAUGCAGUUGCUGUCUCAAGCUCGCCGCUUCCUUCUGCCAAUUCAAGUGGGCACAAAACAAAAUCGUUUGAUAAUUCUAAUGCAGAUUUGGUGCAGAACUAUUUAAGAGGGGUUUAGUUUCUCACAACCAUGAAACAAACAAAGAGAAGAGCGGAUGAGAUAAAGGAGAGGGCAGCCAUCCAAGAAAGCAAAGUUUUUUAGUGCUUAUAAGAGCAGUGUCCGGUUGCUUCAAGAGAGAAAGGAGUUGUUUCCUCUUUUUCUGUUCUAGCAAGAGGAGGAGCUAUCAACAAUAGAAAGACAGUGCUCGUUUAAACUCCUACAACAAAAGGGUAAGGGAGUACAUACAUUAAAGCAUUUCCUUAUGUUUACCCAUCAUCUUUGCAGCAUGUGUUUGUGCUUCUUAUCAGCCAUUGAAUUUGGCAAAAUGAUAUCUCUAUCUAUAUCUUCUACUUUGUAUUGUAUAAUCCCUUUAUGCACCAAUCUUGAAGCUCUCUGAAAUAUUUGAUCUCUGUGGGUUUUAUGUAGGCGGUGGAUCUUAUAGCCA